GAUGAACGCUGGCGGCGUGCCUAAUACAUGCAAGUCGAGCGAACAGACGAGGAACUUGCUCCUCUGACGUUAGCGGCGGACGGGGGAGUAACAUGUGGAUAACCUACCUAUAAAACUGGGAUAAAUUCGGGAAACCGUAGCUAAAACCGGAAAAUAUAUUGAACAGCAAGGUACAAUAGUGAAAGACGGUUUUGCUGUCACUUAUAGAUGGUUCGACACCGCAUUGGCUAGUUGGUGAGGUAACGGCUCACAAAGGCAACGAUGCGUAGCCGAUAUGAGAGGAUGAUCCGCCACACGGGGACGGAGAAACGGCCAAGACACCUAGGGGAGGAAGAAGUGGGGAAUUUUGGAAAAUGGGCGAAAGCCUGAUCCAGCCAUGCCGAGUGAGUGAAGAAGGCCUUCGGGUUGUAAAGCUCUUUCGGCUGGGAAGAAAUCGCACCCUCUAAUACAGGGUGUGGAUGACGGUACCAGCAUAAGAAGCACCGGCUAACUACGUG
rnacentral:rRNA from 1 species